GGCAGGUGUAGCCUAGUGGUUAAGGUACUGGACUAGUAAUUCGAAAGGUUGUGGGUUCAAGUCCCACCACUGCCA